GGACAAGGGGGCCCCUGGUGUCCUUUGAGAUGGGACAAAGCGAAGGGGAAAGAGGGCGACAGGGAGGUGACUGAUGUGCCCCAGGCCGCUGAGCCAGCAGGAGCAGAUGGGGGACGGGAUCCAGGUGCUCUGGCUCCUCUGCUCCGCCCCACAUGGGUCUGGAUAAGAUUGAAGGAGAUCUUCCACAAGACGCCCAGAGACACGCCCAGCAGCGUUGCUGAGGUCACAGCCACAGGAUCGUGCCGUCGCCGCACCGAGAGGCACCGGGAGAGCGACGGAUGCUUCUCGGGGGACCCAAAUGCCUCCUGCCCGGAGCACAGGGCACCGCCCUGUCGUCCGCCACCGUGGAGAGCCUGGUGCAGGGCGAGGGUGCGGGAAUGCCUGCAGGACGCAUAGCAGAGUGGAAGACGGAAGGAGCCAGAGCCUGGAGCACUGGGUCAUCGUCCCCGCCGUCCAGCCUGACACCUGGGAACGCGCUUUCUGCCCGAGUUGCUGACUUGUGCCAAUUUAUAUGCUAAUUCCAGAAAUGAUUCUUCCCACAUUAAAUAAAAGCUGAGGAAUGUUCCAAAGGUCUGAACAGAUUGUACCAUUAACAGACAGGGGAAGCUGAGCCGUGCUGCCCACAGGAGUCCCGGGCGUGUGAACCGGCCCCCAGCACACGCACUCCCCCCAUUACAGGCCCACGUGCUCCUUCAGCUGACUCGGCCAAACGAAACUGCUUCGGCAUCUAAAGCCUCCGAGGGCCCAUCUCGACCUUGAGGUCCCUUCCAGAGUCACCUUUUGGGAAAGUAAAGAGUGCCAAACAGAAUUGGAGGGGUCCGUGGUGAGCCCGUGCCCCCAAAGUGAUCAACUGCCCCCAAGGACGUCAGUGUCAUCGGAUCACUGCCCUGAUCCGAGGCCUAGGCCCCUGGCCUCCUGGACAGCCUCCUCACACCCUCCUCCAACCCCCGACACACACACACACACACACACACUGAGUUUCUUUUCUCCCCAACUCACCAAGACCUUCCUGCCUCAGAGGCUUUGUACCUUCUGUUCCGCCUGCCAGGAUAGCUCUUCUCCACUCUCUUGACCAGGUUACCCCAACUCCUCGCAGCUCAGAGAAGCCCUCCCGACCUGCACAGGAGGUGAGGCCCCGGUCACACACCCUGUAGGAUGCUGCGUCUUCCUUCCUGGUGCUCCUCACAGCUCUCGUGGGAUUAUUACUUGUGUGAUAUUAUUCUGCAUCUGCAGCUAUCAUUCACUGGUGAGAGCAGGGACCAGGUUUACCCUGUAUCCCCAGGGUCUAGAAGGAUGCUUGCCAGAGGAUGUAGAGAAAGAGAGGGAGGGAGGGAGGAAAAGAGGGAGGAAUGGAUGGAUAGAUGGAAGGAUGGGUGGGUGGGUGAAUAGGUGAUGGAAGGAAGGAAGGAAGGAUAGAUGGUUGGAUGGAUGGAUGAUUGGAUGUUUGAAUGGAUGGAUAUUUGGGUGGAUGAAUGGGUGGAUGGAUGGAUGAUGGGUGGAUGGAUGCUGGGUGGAUGACCAGAUAGAUGGAGAGGGAGAGGAAAGAAGGGAGUGAGAGAGGGAGGAUGGGAGUUUGGAUGGAUGGAUGGAUGGAUGGAUGAUGGCUGGAUGGAUGAUGGAUGGAUGGGUAUGGAUGGAUGGAUGGAUGGAUGGAUGGAUGGAUGGAUGAUGGAUGGAUGGAUGGAUGGAUGAUGGAUAGAUGGAUGGAUGGAUGAUGGAUGGAUGGAUGGAUGAUUGAUGGCUGGAUGGGUAGAUGGAUGGUUGGAUGGAUGGAUGAUGGAUGGAUGAUGGAUGGAUGGAUGGAUGGAUGAUGGCUGGAUGGGUAGAUGGAUGGUUGGAUGGUUGGAUGGAUGGAGGAUGGAUGGAUGGAUGGAUGGAUGGAUGGAUGAUGGACGGAUGGAUGGAUGAUGGCUGGAUGGAUGAUGGCUAGAUGGGAUGAUGGAUGGAUG
rnacentral:lncRNA from 1 species